AUUGAACGCUGGCGGCAGGCCUAACACAUGCAAGUCGAGCGGAUAAGUGGAGCUUGCUCCAUGAUUCAGCGGCGGACGGGUGAGUAAUGCCUAGGAAUCUGCCUGGUAGUGGGGGACAACGUUUCGAAAGGAACGCUAAUACCGCAUACGUCCUACGGGAGAAAGUGGGGGAUCUUCGGACCUCACGCUAUCAGAUGAGCCUAGGUCGGAUUAGCUAGUUGGUGAGGUAAAGGCUCACCAAGGCGACGAUCCGUAACUGGUCUGAGAGGAUGAUCAGUCGCACUGGAACUGAGACACGGUCCAGACUCCUACGGGAGGCAGCAGUGGGGAAUAUUGGACAAUGGGCGAAAGCCUGAUCCAGCCAUGCCGCGUGUGUGAAGAAGGUCUUCGGAUUGUAAAGCACUUUAAGUUGGGAGGAAGGGCAGUAAGUUAAUACCUUGCUGUUUUGACGUUACCAACAGAAUAAGCACCGGCUAACUUCGUGCCAGCCGCCGCGGUAAGAC
rnacentral:rRNA from 1 species